CAGUGAAGUAUGAAGCCUAAUCGUGCUUGGUUAAUAAUAUCUGUCAUGAGCAUAGAACCUGGUGACCAGACAAGGAAGCAAGAAGAUAUGCAAAAUUCCCCUCAGUGGUGUUGUUAGUGGGACUAAAUUGAUGGGGUGGCUUUUUCCAGAUUCCCAAGUUUCCUGGGGUCCAGAGAACUUAUCCUCAUCAUUCCCCUUGUUACUUUGCAGAACCCUAUGGUUGACCAAAAGGCUGAUGUGGGAGAAAAACAGAACGGAGGUGAGAAUGUGCCCACACCUCUCCACUCCUAAGAUACAGACUUAUGGCUCCGCACAGAAACAUGACGGUUGGAUUACAGGAAACAAAGACACUUAAUACUUUCCUGCAUUGUUCCUGAAGAGGGUCUACAAAGCCUACCUAGUCCUGGCUGUCCUGGAACUCACUAUGUAGAUCAGGCUGGCUUCAAACUAGUGGAGAUUCCCUGGCUUCUGUUUCUCGAGUGCUGGGAUUAAAGAUAUGCACCACCAUGCCUGGGUUUUGAAUGUUUUAUUCCUGCAUGUAAAACUCUGUACCUUUUCUUGUGAAUGGGUUCUUCUGUAACUGCCA